UAACAUCGCGAGGUGAAAUUCCUUGUGAGAAGGGGGGAUUCGCUUGAAGAGGGAGUCGCGCCUGAUUAGCUAGUUGGCGGGGUAAUGGCCCACCAAGGCAAUGAUCAGUAGCCGGCCUGAGAGGGCGCACGGCCACACUGGAACUGAAACACGGUCCAGACUCCUACGGGAGGCAGCAGUGGGGAAUUUUGCGCAAUGGGGGAAACCCUGACGCAGCAACGCCGCGUGGAGGAUGAAGUCCUUUGGGAUGUAAACUUUUUUCGACCUGUAAGAUUAUGACGGUACCGGUUGGAGGGGGCACCGGCUAACUCUGUGCCAGCAGCCGCGGUAAUACAGAGGGUGCGAGCGUUGUUCGGAA
rnacentral:rRNA from 1 species